rnacentral:misc_RNA from 1 species
UGUGGUAAAAUCUUAAGCCUUCCUUUACUGAAAUUUGAAACACCAUCUUAGAAUAUAUGUUAGAAGAGUGUGGACAGUUAAAUAUAAAGCGAUCUUCCGUCUUUUUGAUAAUGUAUUUUAAUCAUUAUUUGGCUAAUUGACAAUGAUCUUGUGCUAUGCUUUGCAUUUAGGGAUGUAAUUUUGCAAGUCUAGUUCACAAUCAAACAUUUUCGUAUCUUUUGAAGUUUGGGUUUAUCGGAUGUUGCCAAAGGUUAAUGUCAGUAAUCUAAUUUCGUGGAUAAAUCCAGCAGAAAUUGAUAAUAGGUGCAUCGGUUUCCCUAGGGGUUUAUUUCUUGGUACUGGAUAAAUAAAAGGCUUGGUUUUGGUAGUCCAAUUAGUUGAAG